CAAGGGGUUCAACUUGGAAAAAAAAUUACUAAGAAAAACAAUAUAUCAGUAAAAUUACAAUAUAUUAACGAAUUAUGUACCGAAACAUUAACUUCCAUCAUUACGUCAUUUUUUGACAAUGUCAACAACUUGUGAAGUCGGAGCAUUCAGAAACUAGAGGAAGGCCGUAAAUAGGACCCCAUUUUGAAGGCACCAAUUGGCAAACUGGCAAUUAAAUUUGCAAUUAGGGAAUCCAGUUUAAAAAGUCUGAAUGUUUUUGUCCCUGGUUUUUAGGAGAGUCUUGGAAGAAUCUAGAAAUCUUUAUACAUUUGUGUGUCAGCGAGGCUAAAUAGUCCCGCUACAGUAUGAUGAUGAUGAUGAUCUACUAUACUGCAGCUGCAGUGUCGAGGAACUGUACUGCUGCUGAGCUGAGCUGAGCUGAGCUGAGCUGAGCACAUCAUCUCCAAAAACCCACAACAUGAGACCUCAAGAGCUCCCACUCAACACGGCACUUCCUUGGGUCCUCAGCAAUACACCGGCCAAGAGUGAAGCUGAUCAGAUGAAUGGACGUCAAGAAAUUCAAAGGACAGAUAUACAGAUAGAGACUCCUUCAAUAUUAGUUAGAUGAUUAAAGGUAGCAUGAAUAAAUAAGCCUGAAAAGUACCGCAGUUUCCACCACAGACUAAUAAAGCACCAUGUAAUCCUUGAUAAUGAUGAAAGGUCUGUGAUUUUAUUAGUUAUUAAAAACACACUGGGUGCAAAUAGUACACAUACUAUAAUGUUGGACUAUACUGAGGAUCAAUGACGGUAUUUCUGCGAUUGAUUUGAAGCAUUUAUAAGGGACAAACUGCAUGGACAUCAAGGCAAUGUACUGCUGUGUGAAUGAUAAUUGUGUAUAAUAUAAUUAAACAUUUUAAACAAUA